rnacentral:lncRNA from 10 species
AGUCUUGCUCUGUCACCUACACUGGAAUUCAGUGGCACAGUCUCAGCUCAGCUCACUGCAACCUCCACCUCCCGGGUUCAAGUGAUUCUCAUACCUCAGCCUCCUGAGUAGCUGGGAUUACAGGAAAAAAAGUCCUUGGGAAUUGAGAAGCCAAUGAGAUUAGUCGUUCAAGCUGAAGUCAUUCUAUCUGCUAGCUGUCUGGAGCCACUGAAGCUGUGGGCGAACAGCAACAAGUUUAAGCUACAUCUGCACACUCUGCGGUCCAUCCAGAGACCAAGAAAGAAGCACAAGGAUCCUGCAGAGUCUUCCGAAGCCCAAGCCAAAUAUAUGAGGCAGGGAGCUAGAGAAUGUGGAGGAAGUGGUCAGUAGGAAAAGGAAUGGGAACAGACAUUCUCCUUCAGAAACUUGAGGUCCAGUCCCUGAACUUUAGCUGGCCCCAAAACUUGAGCAAGCUCUAAAAAGCAGAACAUCUCCCACUUAACAGUUUAUUCUGAGAACUGGCCAACCACAGGAGGGAAAAUCAUAUCUCCAGUUAAAGUGCCCUGAUCAUGCCAUCUGCUCAUCCUACCCCCUUUGCCCUGCUCCCACACAAAGUUCCUGCUAGCCCUGUUUACGUCUUCUUUUUUAAACUCUUUUUUUAAAAUUUGAUUUUUAGACAUUUGAAGAUUUCCAUGGUCAGAGGGUCUGUAAUAGUCUUUUUUGAAUAAAGCUGCUCCUUACCU